UGGGAUUAAAGGUAUGCACCACCACUGCCUGACUAACUUUGCUAAUGUUAUGAGUCAUAAUGUAAAUGCCUAAUAUGCCCUGGGUCUCGACCCACAGGUUAAGAACCACUGGUAUAACAUAUGUAGGAGUGAGCAACAGGGGAGGAUGCUUUCCACUCUGUGGUCUCCUUAGUAACAGCCUUGGUGCUUAUGGAGGAAUGCUCACUGUUGUGAAGAAACAGGUUUGUUCUGUGCAAAUCCCAGCUUCUGACACCAGGGACUCCUGGCCACAUCAUUCUGUUCACAGGCACCCUGAUAUGGUCCGCCAGUCUGAGGCUAGGAAACUGUCUUACGAAAGCAUCCUUUUGCCUCAGAACUUCUCAGAGGCUCAUCUGUCAUAGCAUCAUAAGAGGUGGCCUUAAGCAAGCCACUUCUGCCUUUGCUAUCAGCUUCCUGGGCUACGGGUGCGGACUGUAUAGCAACCUCCUGAGUCCAGGCCAAGGAAGAGAGACAUAAUGUUCACAAAGUGUUUAGCACUGAAUCUGCCACAAUGGUGAGCUGUUCCAAAAAAUAAACUAUUAAUAGCUACAGGUCAUUUGUUCUUCUUCAGUUGUUGGAAAGAGUCAAUACUGUUGGUUCUGGAAGGUGGAAUUUGGAGAGGGGCUUGUUUUCAUUUUGUGUUUUUAUAGGAGAAAAGGCAUUAAUGUAAGCACUCAAGAUUUCUGAAGACAGGUGCACAAAGAAUACUGAGAAAAAUAAAACCUAGCUAUUGGAUGUUAA